GAUGAACGCUGGCGGCGUGCUUAACACAUGCAAGUCGAACGAAGCACUUUAUUUGAUUUCCUUCGGGACUGAUUAUUUUGUGACUGAGUGGCGGACGGGUGAGUAACGCGUGGGUAACCUGCCUUGUACAGGGGGAUAACAGUUGGAAACGGCUGCUAAUACCGCAUAAGCGCACGGCAUCGCAUGAUGCAGUGUGAAAAACUCCGGUGGUAUAAGAUGGACCCGCGUUGGAUUAGCUAGUUGGUGAGGUAACGGCCCACCAAGGCGACGAUCCAUAGCCGACCUGAGAGGGUGACCGGCCACAUUGGGAAUGAGACACGGCCCAAACUCCUACGGGAGGAAGCAGUGGGGAAUAUUGCACAAUGGGCGAAAGACUGAUGCAGCGACGCCGCGUGAGCGAAGAAGUAUUUCGGUAUGUAAAGCUCUAUCAGCAGGGAAGAUAAUGACGGUACCUGACUAAGAAGCACCGGCUAAAUACGUG
rnacentral:rRNA from 1 species